GAUGAACGCUGGCGGCGUGCCUAAUACAUGCAAGUCGAGCGAACAGACGAGGAGCUUGCUCCUCUGACGUUAGCGGCGGACGGGUGAGUAACACGUGGAUAACCUACCUAUAAGACUGGGAUAACUUCGGGAAACCGGAGCUAAUACCGGAUAAUAUAUUGAACCGCAUGGUUCAAUAGUGAAAGACGGUUUUGCUGUCACUUAUAGAUGGAUCCGCGCCGCAUUAGCUAGUUGGUAAGGUAACGGCUUACCAAGGCAACGAUGCGUAGCCGACCUGAGAGUGUGAUCGGCCACACUGGAACUGAGACACGGUCCAGACUCCUACGGGAGGCAGCAGUAGGGAAUCUUCCGCAAUGGGCGAAAGCCUGACGGAGCAACGCCGCGUGAGUGAUGAAGGUCUUCGGAUCGUAAAACUCUGUUAUUAGGGAAGAACAAAUGUGUAAGUAACUAUGCACAUCUUGACGGUACCUAAUCAGAAAGCCACGGCUAACUACGUG
rnacentral:rRNA from 1 species